rnacentral:rRNA from 1 species
GGGUAACAUGCCCUAAGGUGGGGGAUAAUCUCGGGAAACUGAGGGUAAUACCCCAUAGGUCUGAUCUGCUGGAAUGCUUUCAGGCCGAAAACUCCGGUGCCUUAGGAUUGGCCUGCGGUCUAUCAGGCUGUAGUGGGUGUAACGGACCCACUAGCCCGUGACGGAUAUGGGCCUUGAGAGAGGGAGCCCAGAGAUGGACUCUGAGACAUGAGUCCAGGCCCUACGGGGCGCAGCAGUCGCGAAAACUUCGCAAUGGGGGCAACCCCGACGAGGGAAUUCCAAGUGCCAGCACUUUGUGUUGGCUGUUCUCCUGUCUAAAAAACAGGAGGAGUAAGGGGCGGGUAAGACGGGUGCCAGCCGCCGCGGUAAUACCCGCGCCCCUAGUGGUGGUCGAUAUUAUUGAGCCUAAAACGUCCGUAGCCGGUCUUUUAAAUCCUUGGGUAAAUCGGGCAGCUUAACUGUCCGAAGUCCGGGGAGACUGAGAGACUUGGGGCCGGGAGAGGUGAGAGGUACUUCAGGGGUAGGGGUGAAAUCUUGUAAUCCUUGAAGGACCACCAGUGGCGAAGGCGUCUCACCAGAACGGACCUGACGGCAAGGGACGAAAGCUAGGGGCACGAACCGGAUUAGAUACUCGGGUAGUCCUAGCCGUAAACGAUACUCGCUAGGUGUCGGCCACGGUGCGACCGUUGUCGGUGCCGUAGGGAAGCCGUGAAGCGAGCCACCUGGGAAGUACGGCCGCAAGGCUGAAACUUAA